UUUAAAAAGAUAAGCUAAUUUAAAGCUUUUGGGUUCAUACCCCAACGAUAGUGGUUACACUWCUUUUUAA
rnacentral:tRNA from 1 species